rnacentral:rRNA from 1 species
AGUGAACGCUGGCGGUAGGCCUAACACAUGCAAGUCGAACGGCAGCACAGUAAGAGCUUGCUCUUACGGGUGGCGAGUGGCGGACGGGUGAGGAAUACAUCGGAAUCUACUUUUUCGUGGGGGAUAACGUAGGGAAACUUACGCUAAUACCGCAUACGAUCUACGGGUGAAAGCAGGGGAUCUUCGGACCUUGCGCGAUUGAAUGAGCCGAGGUCGGAUUAGCUAGUUGGCGGGGUAAAGGCCCACCAAGGCGACGAUCCGUAGCUGGUCUGAGAGGAUGAUCAGCCACACUGGAACUGAGACACGGUCCAGACUCCUACGGGAGGCAGCAGUGGGGAAUAUUGGACAAUGGGCGCAAGCCUGAUCCAGCCAUACCGCGUGGGUGAAGAAGGCCUUCGGGUUGUAAAGCCCUUUUGUUGGGAAAGAAAAGCAGCAGGUUAAUACCCCGCUGUUCUGACGGUACCCAAAGAAUAAGCACCGGCUAACUUCGUG